AGGGUUUCUCUCUCACGUGGCUCCUCCUGCCUGAAGCCUCUAGGAGCCCGAGAUGGAGGGAUCCUUCUGAGAAGUGAAGCCAUUUGGACUUUCUGGAAGCUUUUUGCUCUUCACAAUAAAUCUUGCUGCUGCUCACUCUUUGGGACUGUGCCAUCUUUAAGAGCUUUAACACUCACUGCGAAGGUCCGCGGCUCCAUUCUUGAAGUCAGCGAGAC
rnacentral:lncRNA from 10 species